rnacentral:rRNA from 1 species
UACGUAGGGUGCGAUCGUUAAUCGGAAUUACUGGGCGUAAAGUGUGCGCAGGCGGCCGAGCAAGUCGAGUGUGAAAGCCCCGAGCUUAACUUGGGAACUGCGCUCGAAACUACUUGGCUAGAGUGUGGCAGAGGGAGGUGGAAUUCCACGUGUAGCGGUGAAAUGCGUAGAGAUGUGGAGGAACACCGAUGGCGAAGGCAGCCUCCUGGGCCAACACUGACGCUCAUGCACGAAAGCGUGGGGAGCAAACAGG